AGGAUCAUACUUCGCAGGAUCAUUUCUGUAGUGUGCAUCGUCCUUUCCAGGUGCAUAUCUGGAGUUGUCAUCAGCCACGACAACAUUAUUUGU